CUCCGGUACAGCCUGGUAGGGAGGGCUCCCGGCAUCUCCCUGCUUCGGGGCAGAGGAUGCCGGGGGUAGAGUACGGGAGGGCUGGAGCGAGGGUGGACUGGAGGUGCCGCUUGUCCUGGAGGUGGGAGAGAGGGAGCGGCUUUGCCGCCUGGCCUGCGUCCUAAUCCUGUCCUGGUUCUUCUGCUCCCGAAGGGAACGUAGGUCCCGCGCCUGUGAUAAAAUCUCGCUGUCUCCUUCCAACCACCUGUGGUCGGCAUCCCCGCGUUGUCACUGCGACGCAGAGGCGAGCGAGGUGGCGGGAAGCACCCGCGGGGCGGGGAGGGACCCUGCGGGCGCGGACUCCACACCAAGCCUCUGCUCAGCGUCACCCCGCUUGCUGUGUCCUCGCAGGUCGCAGCUUCAUGGCCUGAUGCCUUCAGGAAGUAUUUUGAAGUCAUCGUGGCUGUGGAUUGGGGGAUUUCUUGUUUCCACUGACCUGUGAGGCCGCGCACGUGGAGGGAGGCACCCCGGGUCCUCCGGCACUGUCCGGCCUCGCCUGUGUCCCUAGUAGCAGUGGGCAUUUCCAGACGGUGCAGCUUGUGGCUAAAGUGACAGGAAGAUGUAGGAGCUUUCAGUCUUGGAUGAGGAUUCGAACUGAAGGGCUUAGGCCCAGCUGUCUUGGAGCAAAACAUCUGUUGUGGGAUGUGGCGGCAGAGGAGGGCAAGGCCGAAGGAGCAGACAGCACCGCUUCUUGGGGAGUUGUGAAGGCAUCAUGCGGAGGGCCGAGCUUAGCAGCCAAGUGGAGGACAGCACCCUCCAUGCCUGGAUUCGUUACUCGCUCGUUCUCGAUGUUGAGCUGCUGGCAUAUUGCAGCACAACUAGAGAUGUACGGAUGCCCCCAUCUUGAUCUUACAGAAUCAGAGGUGCAGCCGCAAGAAAGCUACACCCUCUCGGUUUUCUCUGCUCUGCCAACACUAGUGGAAUAUGAUCACAUCCCAGGGAUCAGUGUCAUUUAGGGAUGUGACUAUGGGCUUCACUCAAGAGGAGUGGCAUCAUCUGGACCCUGCUCAGAGGACCCUGUAGAGGAAUGUGAUGCUGGAGAACUACAGCCACCUUGUCUCAGUAGGGUAUUGCAUCAUUCACAGGGUAUUGCAUUCCUAAACCAGAAGUGAUCCUCAAAUUGGAGACAGGCAAGGAGCCAUGGAUAUUAGAGGAAAAAUUUCGAAGCCAGAGUCAUCUGGGUGAGUUAGUGCCAGAUGGAAUUUAAAG
rnacentral:lncRNA from 1 species